CUAGAUUUCUCAUCACAGUACUAUCUUUUUCUUACUUUCUCAUCACACAUUGGCCUCAAGUUUAAAAAUCGGGCUGUCAAUCUUGGAUUUUAUUCUUUGGACUUUAUUUUGGUAUGAAUAUUCUUCAUAACUCCACCAUGUUUUCAUUAUUACCCCGAUUUAUAAUGAGAUUGCACACUUUUCCAUCAAUGUUGCAAAUAGAAUAGAAAAUGCUGGUUCUCAACCAAUCUUCCUUGCUUUCUUUAUUCAGCACAAAGAGAGUCUUCUUCAUUAAGUGUUAUACCUUCCUCAUCUUCAAAUUCUUCUCUGAUUUCUUCAUGUAAGGACUGAUAAACAGGUUCCUUACUUUCUUGUUUUAUCUAUCAUACAUUGGCAUAAGAGAUUCUUUCUUGUCAUAAGUGCAAGACGCUAUUCUCCUUCAUAGUCUUCAACAAUUUCUUCACACAACUGAUUAGCAUAGGUAGGGGCUUUGGAUUGUUGAUCAAAUUCCUCUAGUUCAUCACAAAGAGUGCUUUUCCAUCGAGGGUUUGCGUUGCUAAUCAUUUUGCAGUUUAUUUGUGGGAAGAAUCAAAUCUGGCAACCACACUGCAGGAAUUAGCUUGUUGAGUAGGAGUGUAUUCAGCAGGAUUUGAUCAUGUGAAUUAAUAUUGGCAUCUUUCCACACAUCUCUAGAAUCCUUUCUGUCAAUAUUUCCUUUGGUUCUUCUUUGACAUCUUCAAAACCCGAUUGACAUUUGCAUUGGCAUGGGACUAGAAGCAGAGAGUUAAUGAGGACCCACGUAUAAGUGUUGCAUGUCGUACUCCUACAGGUACCGUGUCCAUGCUUCCAGUUUAUAUGCAAGUAGCCUCAUGACUCUGUGAGAGAUUAUAUGACAAGACCAACUAAUAUCAUCUCAUAGCAUUGUGAACUCCGCCACCUUCAAGAGACUUGUGCUUUUGUGCAAUAGAGUGGAAAAUAAGGGUAUCAUGUUGGAGCAGAUAUCAAGUUGAUGAUGCAGCCAGUUGUUUGGCUGCUAAACCA